rnacentral:rRNA from 1 species
GAUGAACGCUGGCGGCGUGCCUAAUACAUGCAAGUCGAGCGAACGGACGAGAAGCUUGCUUCUCUGAUGUUAGCGGCGGACGGGUGAGUAACACGUGGAUACCCUACCUAUAAGACUGGGAUAACUUCGGGAAACCGGAGCUAAUACCGGAUAAUAUUUUGAACCGCAUGGUUCAAAAGUGAAAGACGGUCUUGCUGUCACUUAUAGAUGGAUCCGCGCUGCAUUAGCUAGUUGGUAAGGUAACGGCUUACCAAGGCAACGAUGCAUAGCCGACCUGAGAGGGUGAUCGGCCACACUGGAACUGAGACACGGUCCAGACUCCUACGGGAGGCAGCAGUAGGGAAUCUUCCGCAAUGGGCGAAAGCCUGACGGAGCAACGCCGCGUGAGUGAUGAAGGUCUUCGGAUCGUAAAACUCUGUUAGUAGGGAAGAACAGAUGUGUAAGUAACUGUGCACAUCUUGACGGUACCUAAUCAGAAAGCCACGGCUAACUACGUG